UACGAAGGGGGGCUAGCGUUGCUCGGAAUCACUGGGCGUAAAGCGCACGUAGGCGGAUUGUUAAGUCGGGGGUGAAAUCCUGGAGCUCAACUUCAGAAUUGCCUUCGAUACUGGCUUUCUAGAGGCUGGAAGAGGUUAGUGGAAUUCCCAGUGUAGAGGUGAAAAUUCGUAGAUAUUGGGAAGAACACCAGUGGCGAAGGCGGCUAACUGGUCCAGAUCUGACGCUGAGGUGCGAAAGCGUGGGGAGCAAACAGG
rnacentral:rRNA from 1 species